GGGCCGCCAAUCUGCAUCUCUGGGAGGAGUUCUUCACACCUCAUAUAAGGGCAGUAUCCAAAGGAACUAAGAUUCCAGUACAUCAGCAUCACGCCCACUGCUGGAUGUGAACAAUACCUCCUUUCAGGCUACAGAAACCUGCUCAUGGAUGAUUACUAAUCUUGCCAAAACAAAGGAGAAAAACUGAGGCUCAGACAUAUCAAAUGACUUGAGGCCAGACGACCAACGAAUGUUAAAAAAGGAUGUUGAACCAGAUGAUCUCCAUGGUCCCACUGUAGCUCCAAAUCAUGAUCCAAGAUCAUGGACUUGAAGUUAAGAACUUUUGGUUCGAACAUAUCUUUAAAAUAUACCCCCACCUUCUAGGAGAACCACAUGCAAAGCUGAGAGGAGGUGGAAACAUCUCCCUACUGGACCCAGAAUGUGUUCAGUCAUCACCAGGUCAGCAGUGAAAGCUGAUUUUAGUGAAGCAUUUGACAAAGUCUGUCAAGCUGCUCUUGUGGAAAAGAUGUCAAGGUAUCAGACACAGGUCACUUACAAUUAGGAGGAUUUGAAACUGGCUGGUCAGACCCAA